rnacentral:rRNA from 1 species
UGGGGAAUCUUGCGCAAUGGGCGAAAGCCUGACGCAGCAACGCCGCGUGCGGGAUGAAGGCCCUCGGGUCGUAAACCGCUUUCAGCAGGGAUGAAACUGACAGUACCUGCAGAAGAAGCCCCGGCUAACUACGUGCCAGCAGCCGCGGUAAUACGUAGGGGGCAAGCGUUAUCCGGAUUCAUUGGGCGUAGAGAGCGCGUAGGCGGCUUGUUUAGUCAGAUGUGAAAACCGGGGGCUCAACCCGCGGCCUGCAUCUGAAACUGACAGGCUUGAGUCUGGUAGAGGAAAGUGGAAUUCCUGGUGUAGCGGUGAAAUGCGCAGAUAUCAGGAGGAACACCAGUGGCGAAGGCGGCUUUCUGGGCCACGACUGACGCUGAGGCGCGAAAGCUAGGGGAGCGAA